CCCUUAGAUGUUCUGGGCCGCACGCGCGCUACACUGAUGCAUUCAACGAGUCUAAAACCUGGUCUGAUAGGGCUGGGUAAUCUUUUGAAAGUGCAUCGUGAUUGGGAUAGAUGAUUGCAAUUCUUCAUCUUCAACGAGGAAUGCCUAGUAAACGCAAGUCAUCAGCUUGCAUUGAUUACGUCCCUGCCCUUUGUACACACCGCCCGUCGCUCCUACCGAUUGAAUGAUCCGAUGAAUACCAUGGAUUGAGAGUACGAAUGGGUUCGCUCAUUUCUGCUGCUCGAGAAGUGGAGUAAAUCUUAUCAUUUAGAGGAAGGAGAAGGCGUAACA
rnacentral:rRNA from 1 species